UACGAAGGGGGCUAGCGUUGUUCGGAAUUACUGGGCGUAAAGGGCGCGCAGGCGGCCCUCCAAGUCAGGCGUGAAAGCCCCGGGCUCAACCCGGGAACAGCGCUUGAGACUGGGGGGCUUGAGUUCGGGAGAGGAGAGUGGAAUUCCCAGUGUAGAGGUGAAAUUCGUAGAUAUCUGGAGGAACACCGGUGGCGAAGGCGGCAUCCUGGACCGGCAUUGACGCUGAGGAGCGAAAGCCAGGGGAGCAAACGGG
rnacentral:rRNA from 1 species